rnacentral:rRNA from 1 species
AGUUUGAUCCUGGCUCAGGUUGAACGCUGGCGGCAUGCCUUACACAUGCAAGUCGAACGGCAGCGCGGACUUCGGUCUGGCGGCGAGUGGCGAACGGGUGAGUAAUACAUCGGAACGUACCCUGUUGUGGGGGAUAACUAGUCGAAAGAUUAGCUAAUACCGCAUACGACCUGAGGGUGAAAGUGGGGGACCGCAAGGCCUCACGCUGCAGGAGCGGCCGAUGUCUGAUUAGCUAGUUGGUGGGGUAAAGGCCCACCAAGGCGACGAUCAGUAGCUGGUCUGAGAGGACGAUCAGCCACACUAGGACUGAGACACGGCCCAGACUCCUACGGGAGGCAGCAGUGGGGAAUUUUGGACAAUGGGGGCAACCCUGAUCCAGCAAUGCCGCGUGUGUGAAGAAGGCCUUCGGGUUGUAAAGCACUUUUGUCCGGAAAGAAAUCGCGCUGGUUAAUACCUGGCGUGGAUGACGGUACCGGAAGAAUAAGCACCGGCUAACUACGUGCCAGCAGCCGCGGUAAUACGUAGGGUGCGAGCGUUAAUCGGAAUUACUGGGCGUAAAGCGUGCGCAGGCGGUUUUGUAAGACAGGCGUGAAAUCCCCGGGCUUAACCUGGGAAUUGCGCUUGUGACUGCAAGGCUAGAGUGCGUCAGAGGGGGGUAGAAUUCCACGUGUAGCAGUGAAAUGCGUAGAGAUGUGGAGGAAUACCGAUGGCGAAGGCAGCCCCCUGGGACGUGACUGACGCUCAUGCACGAAAGCGUGGGGAGCAAACAGGAUUAGAUACCCUGGUAGUCCA